rnacentral:rRNA from 1 species
GACAGAGGAUGCAAGCGUUAUCCGGAAUGAUUGGGCGUAAAGCGUCUGUAGGUGGCUUUUCAAGUCCGCCGUCAAAUCCCAGGGCUCAACCCUGGACAGGCGGUGGAAACUACCAAGCUGGAGUACGGUAAGGGGCAGAGGGAAUUUCCGGUGGAGCGGGUGAAAUGCAUUGAGAUCGGAAAGAACACCAACGGCGAAAGCAGCUACUGCUGGGCCGACACUGACACUGAGAGACGAAGCUAGGGGAGCAAAUGGG